AAAGGGUUUAACCCUGUCCCCAGAGUUUUACUCUAGAACGCCCUACAUGGAAUUCCUAGACAGUCUAAAUAAUUUAAACCAGUGGGUAUAAUUGAGCAGCAGCUCAGCUGGCCUCAGCGGUCCGGUGAAUAACAAGGUGCCAGCAAUCGCGGUUAAACCUUGGCCUGUUAACUUUGCUUAAUGAAGGAGACACGUAAAAGUCUGGCACGGCUCGAGAUAAAAUCCAACUCCCUUCUGAAUACCCCUCUGCUCCUAAAUCAGAAAAAAGGAAUGGGAUUAGAUACCCCACCACUUCUGGCUAGCGCGCUUAGAGGUAGUAGUUAGUAAUGAACAAAACCCAAAGGGUUUGGCGGCCCUUGACACAACCAGAGGAACCUGUCCCAUUGUCGACAGCACACGUUUUACCUCACCUGGGUAUGGCUUGUAUACCGCCGUCUUAACCUAUUCAGCAAAAAGGGUUUUAAGAGAUACUUCUAGUAUGACAGGUCAAGGUGCAGCUUGCCUAGGCGGAGAUGGGUUACAAUAGCCACAGAACUGCAGAGCCUUUUUGGAACAGAAGGGGAAGGUGGAUUUGGCAGUAAUAGAGGGUUAGAACUUCUUUAUAAACUUUAAAUCAGGGGUGCACAUAUCGCCCGUCACUCUCGCAUCGCGAGAUAAGUCGUAACAAAGUAAAUGUACCGGAAGGUGUAUUUUUAUUUAC
rnacentral:ncRNA from 1 species